rnacentral:rRNA from 1 species
GAUGAACGCUGGCGGCGUGCCUAAUACAUGCAAGUCGAGCGAACAGACGAGGAGCUUGCUCCUCUGACGUUAGCGGCGGACGGGUGAGUGACACGUGGAUAACCUACCUAUAAGACUGGGAUAACUUCGGGAAACCGGAGCUAAUACCGGAUAAUAUAUUGAACCGCAUGGUUCAAUAGUGAAAGACGGUUUUGCUGUCACUUAUAGAUGGAUACGCGCCGCAUUAGCUAGUUGGUAAGGUAACGGCUUACCAAGGCAACGAUGCGUAGCCGACCUGAGAGGGUGAUCGGCCACACGGGAACUGAGACAGGGUCCAGACUCCUGCGGGAGGCAGCAGUAGGGAAUCUUCCGCAAGGGGGGAAAGCCUGACGGAGCAACGCCGCGUGAGUGAUGAAGGUCUUCGGAUCGGAAAACUCUGUUAUUAGGGAAGAACAAAUGUGUAAGUAACUAUGCACGUCUUGACGGUACCGAAUCAGAAAGCCACGGCUAACUACGUG